GGAAAACCACCACUACUCCUUCUGCCCCACCCCUGUUUCGUUAGGGUUUGCUGCUUUUCAUGGUGAGACUGAACUUGUUUUGCCUCCUUCACCAUGUCAGUUGGUUUUAGUUUCACCUAAUAUCCAUUUCAUGUUAAUUUUAAUUUGUCAGAAUAAACUGUUGUUGUUCGGUGUUGAUGUUGCUGCAGUUACAGUUCCAAACCCCAUUUGGUUCUAGUUUUGGUUCUGUUUCGAGCUGCGUUGCCAUCUGGGUAGUCACCAACCACAGCUGCCAUUGCUGGAGCUCACCGGAGCUGCUGCUAUGCCGUUCCUUCUUUUAUUCUUAACUUCAAGUUGCUGGAGUUAAAGCUGCAAUUGAUUUUCGGGCUGAGGGAAAGGGUUUCUGGUGAUGGAUUUAAUUUAUGGAUUCGACUUUCCGAGGUAGGGGCGUUUUCAUUAAACUUAUUCUUAUUCUUAAGAGUUGUUAUAAAUUGAUAUUUAAGCGAAUAAUUAUUUUUAGUGAUUAUGGAGUCUUACGAAUUGAACUGAAUUGCCUUCAAUGAA